rnacentral:misc_RNA from 1 species
GAAGAAGAAGAAGAAGAACAAGAGUUUCCUCCGGGCAUUCAUUGCUCUUCUGGUAACGAAUAAAAACAGCAAUCGUCCAAAGUCCUUCCUUCACUCCUAUCCCUUACUCAGUCAAAGUCUUCCCUUUCAUCCUCUUCUUCCUCCUCAUUAACUUAUUUUAAGAACCCAUCACUCUGAUAACAGUGCCUGAACCUGCAACUCACUCAGAAAUGGAACUCCGAUCUCUUAUUUUCCCUCUUUUCUUCUCCUUUCUCUUCUCCAUUUCCGCUGCUCAAAUUACGCCCGGCUCCUCCCUGUCUGCUUCUAACCCAAACCAGACUUGGCUUUCCCCCAACACCACAUUUUUUGUGGGAUUUGUCCAGGUGGAUUCUGGCUAUGUCGCCGCCAUUAACUACUUUGGUGGUGUGCCAAUCUGGACCGCUGGUGGCCCUUCCGUUUCCGUUGAUGUUGAUGGAGCCUUUCAUUUCCGCUCUAAUGGUACUCUUCAACUCGUCAACGGCUCUGGUGCUGUCGUCUGGGACUCCAACACUAGCCAUCUUGGUGUGACCUCUGCCUCGCUGGAUGAUUCCGGCAAUUUAGUCCUUCGUAAUCGCAGUGGCUUUUCGGUGUGGUCGAGUUUUCAGAAUCCCACGGAUACCAUAGUCCCAGGUCAAAAUUUCACGGUAAAACAAGUUCUUAAAUCUGGUAUUUACUCAUUUCAGCUUCGUAAUUAUGGAAAUCUCACGCUGAGAUGGAAUGAUAGCAUAGAUUACUGGAAUCAAGGUUUGAAUUCAUCUGUUGGUUCUAAUUUGAGUUCGCCAGUUCUGGGAUUGCAGCCAAUUGGGAUUUUAUCCAUUUCUGAUUUAACUUUAACUAGUGCAUAUAUUGUGGUUUAUAGUAAUGAUUAUGCAGAAGGCACUGACAUAUUGAGGUUUUUAAAGUUGGACAGUGAUGGGAAUUUGAGGAUUUAUAGUUCUGCUUUAGGUAGUGGAACUACAACUAUGAGAUGGGCAGCUUUGGCUGAUCAGUGUCAAGUUUUUGGAUAUUGUGGGAACUUGGGGAUUUGUAGUUACAAUGAUUCGGGUUCGAAUCCCAUUUGUGGAUGUCCAUCUGAGAAUUUUGAGCCUGUUGAUGUGAAUGAUAGUAGAAAAGGGUGUAAAAGAAAGGUGGAGAUUGAGAAUUGUCCUGGGAGUGCAACUAUGUUGGAGAUGGAUCAUGCCAAGUUCUUGACCUACCAGCCUGAGAUAUCCUCUCAGGUUUUCUUUGUGGGAAUAUCAGCUUGUAGGUUGAAUUGUCUUGUUGGAAGUUCUUGUGCUGCCUCAACAUCUUUGUCGGAUGGAACUGGGUUGUGUUACUUAAAAACAUCAGACUUUGUUAGUGGUUAUCAGAACCCAUCACUUCCUAGUACUUCAUAUGUCAAGGUUUGUGGACCGGUGAAACCAAACCCUACACCUAAUUUGCAAAUUGAUGGAAAUAGCAAAAGUAGACUUCGGGUUUGGCUUCUUGUUGUUGUUGUUGUGGUUACCCUUGUUGGUUUGGUUGCUAUAGAGAGUG